UUCUAAGGGCGGUGAAGUCAGACCGGAAGGACUGGUGGAGCGCUUAGAAGUGAGAAUGCCGGUAUGAGUAGCGAAAGAAGGGUGAGAAUCCCUUCCACCGAAUAUCUAAGGUUUCCUGAGGAAGGCUCGUCCGCUCAGGGUUAGUCGGGACCUAAGCCGAGGCCGAUAGGCGUAGGCGAUGGACAACAGGUAGAGAUUCCUGUACCAGUGCUAAUUGUUUAACCGAUGGGGUGACACAGAAGGAUAGGGAAUCGCACGAAUGGAAAUGUGCGUCCAAGCAGUGAGUGUGAGAAGUAGGCAAAUCCGCUUCUCGCGAAGCAUGAGCUGUGAUGGGGAAGGAAAUUAAGUACGGAAGUUCCUGAUUUCACGCUGUCAAGAAAAGCCUCUAGGAAGAGUAGUACUGCCCGUACCGCAAACCGACACAGGUAGAUGAGGAGAGAAUCCUAAGGUGAGCGAGAGAACUCUCGUUAAGGAACUCGGCAAAAUGACCCCGUAACUUCGGGAGAAGGGG
rnacentral:rRNA from 1 species